rnacentral:rRNA from 1 species
CACGUAGUUAGCCGUGGCUUUCUGGUUAGGUACCGUCAAGACUUGUUCAGUUACUAACAAAUUUGUUCUUCCCUAACAACAGAGGUUUACGAUCCUAAGACCUUCAUCACUCACGCGGCGUUGCUCCGUCAGGCUUUCGCCCAUUGCGGAAGAUUCCCUACUGCUGCCUCCCGUAGGAGUCUGGACCGUGUCUCAGUUCCAGUGUGGCCGAUCACCCUCUCAGGUCGGCUACGUAUCGUUGCCUUGGUAAGCCGUUACCUUACCAACUAGCUAAUACGGCGCGGGUCCAUCUAUAAGUGACAGCCGAAACCGUCUUUCAACAUUGAACCAUGCGGUUCAAUAUAUUAUCCGGUAUUAGCCCCGGUUUCCCGGAGUUAUCCCAGUCUUAUAGGUAGGUUACCCACGUGUUACUCACCCGUCCGCCGCUAACAUCAGAGAAGCAAGCUUCUCAUCUGUUCGCUCGACUUGCAUGUAUUAGGCACGCCGCCAGCGUUCAUCCUGAGCCAGGAUCAAACUC